GAAGGAAAAGCCGAAGCUGCUAACUUUGGCAUGAGUAUCUCAAGUUUAUUCUUCCUUUU
rnacentral:tRNA from 1 species